GUGCUUGCCCAGUACCCCUCAGUCCACUGCUAUCACCUGCAAUGCCCAUUUUUAAAUUGGAACUGAGACUCAGAGGAAUACGAUGAUUGAAGAGACUAGAAGGCCUAUUUAUUUCUAUUCCAGGUCGCGUUCCUGGAAGCCAGCUUACCACCAGCCAGCGUGCACAACUGGCUUCCGCACAGACGCCCACCAUAGAGAAUACCUUGUGCCUAGUCUGCCCUGGCUGCUUGACUGUGUUAGGGGACGGCCUCAGAAAGCACCCCCUGGGACGGAGCCUGGAUUCCUCUGCUACCGGAAAUGGAAGGACCAUCCAUCUUGCAAGCCAUGAAGGCUGAUAUUGUAGCCGUGAAAUUGGACUCCAAGCUUUCUGCAAGCAAAAAUAGACACACUAAGGUCUGUCCUCUGCCCAUUCCCUGAUGAGAAAGACAGUUUUUUGUGUGUUGAUUCAAAAUAAUUGACUAAUCAGGAAUGACACUGAAGAGCCCCUGACCAUGCCUGCUUCUGCCGUGGAGGAAAGUGAGAGCAGCACAUUAGAGGACUUGGUCACAUAAGGAGAAACGAGGGAGAAAGCUGCUGGCCGGGGACCGAGGGAGCAAAGAGUCAGCCCUGUGUCCAUGCUUUAGCUCCCAGUCCCAGCGCCUCUUCCCCUUGUUCAGUGUUCCACUUUUUUCUUCCUUUCUUCCUUUUCUUUUUUUUUCUUAUUGAUGUAUAUUUGAUUUAAAUACAACAUCGUGUUACUUUCAGGUGUACAGCAUAGGGAUUCAAUACUUUCUGCAGAUUAUAUGCCAUUAUAGGUUAUUAUAAGGUGCUGGGUAUAAUUUCCUGUGCUAUACAGUGUACCCUUGUUGCUUAUCUAUUUUAUAUGGCAGUUUUAUCUAUUAAUGCCAUACCUCUAAUUUGUUCCUCCCAUUCUUCCUAUUCCCUUUUCUUUCAUUUUUUAUCCUUCUUUUUUUCAUUUUUUAUCCUUCUGAUAAAAGUUAUGACUGUGAUCUUUGGAAAGCCUGAACACUCUAGAUGAAUGUGCAAGGGGCAAUCAAACAGAUUGCUCUGUGGGUUAUAUAGAGACAGAAUAAAAUGACCUGAGAGUCCACUCAAACAAA